GGUCCCCAUACACCAGUGGGAAGAAUGGGAGGUGAUGUUGUUUUCCAACUUACAUAGUUAAGGUCCGGGCCACACAAUAAAUCAAGGGAUUGGCAUGGUACCAUGGUUUUCUCAAGUUUUGGAUUUGGAAUUUUCCUUUCUAUACAACUUCUGGUACUCGUUAUCAUUGAAGCCGUUGAUCUACACUUCGUUUGUUCAAACAACAGGGGUAACUACACCACCGGUAGUGUCUAUCAGAAAAACCUCGACGACUUUCUCUCCUCCCUCGUCACUAAUGAGAGCAGCAACGGCUAUGGCCUCUACAACACCUCUUUUGGCCAAGACGAUGAUAUCAUCGACAAAGUUUAUGCCAUCGGGCUUUGUAGACCGGAUCUUAUACCGGAUGCUUCCCUCAAAUCCUUCAAAGACUCGGCAUACAAUCUCACAAGGGCUUGUCCAAAUCAGAAGGAAGCAAUCAUAUGGAAUGAGUAUUGCAUGGUACGCUACUCAAACCGCUCCUUUCAUUUUGAGCUUUCUCCUAGUAACAAUCAAUCGACCACGAGAAGCCUAUUGUCGUCGGAUGUCGAUUUAUUUAAUUCUGAGCUGGAGGAGUUAAUCGGAGUACUGAAAAGUCAAGCAGCUGCAGGUGGUCUUCAGAAAAAGUUUGCAACGGAAAGUAAAAGGGUUAUGUAUUCCAACAAUCAGUCAAUAUCUGGAAUCGUACAGUGCAUUCCGGACUUGGAGGAGGAGGAGUGCAGUUUCUGCUUGGAGGAGGGUUUGAGACAGCUUCAGAAAUGUUGUUAUGGGAUGGAUUCUGCGAGAUUUGGUAAUCCGAGCUGUAAUUUGAGGUAUGAUGUUUACACCACCGAUGAUCCAGCUAAAUAUCAUGAACCACGAGCACUAUCUCCUCCUACGCCAUCAGCCAAUGCAACCAAAAAUUCAGGAGGAAAGAAGAAGAGCAGCACAUCUGCAGGGACCGUCAUCAUUAUUGCUAUGGCAACGGUUGUUUCCUUCUUGAUUCUAAUUAUGUCCAUCUGCAUCUAUCUGAGAGUGAAGUAUAAAAGGAAAAGAAUUGAAGAAAGAGCAGAAGAAAUCAAAUCUGCGGAAGCUUUGCAAUUCGACUUUCGCUCCAUUAGAGCUGCCACAAAUAACUUUUCGGAAGCAAAUAAACUUGGACGGGGAGGGUUUGGUAUUGUUUACAGGGGUAUACUCCCCGAUGAUAAGGACAUAGCGGUUAAAAGGCUUUCGAGGGAUUCUGCACAAGGAGAUUUAGAAUUCAAAACUGAGGUCUCGCUAGUGGCCAGGCUUCAACAUAGGAAUUUGGUUAGGCUUCUUGGUUUCUGCCUGGGAAAAAAUGAAAAGAUUCUUGUUUAUGAGUUUGUCCCUAACGGAAGUCUUGAUCAAUUCAUAUUUGGUGAAGUCAAGCGCGCACAUUUGGAUUGGGAUGUUCGCUACAAAAUCAUAGUAGGCAUUGCGAGAGGGCUCCUUUACCUUCAUGAAGAUUCUCGUCUUAAAAUCAUUCACCGUGAUCUCAAAGCUAGCAACAUUCUAUUAGAUGCAGACAUGAACCCCAAAGUUGCAGAUUUUGGUAUGGCGAGAUUGUUUGAUCUUGAUCAAUCACAAGGCGAAACCAGACGAGUUGUGGGAACUUACGGAUAUAUGGCUCCAGAGUAUGUGAUGCGUGGACAAUUUUCGGUUAAGUCUGAUGUCUUUAGCUUUGGUGUCUUAGUUUUGGAGAUAGUAAGUGGACAAAAGAAUAGUUCUUUUCGUAAUAGAGGAAAUGUGGAGGAUCUUCUAAGCUAUGCAUGGAGAAAUUGGAGAGCAGAUACGGCUUCAAAUAUAAUAGAUCCCAUCUUGAGUUCUGGUUCAAGAACUGAGAUGAUGAGAUGCAUCAACAUUGGAUUGUUAUGCGUGCAACAAAAUAUAGCUGAUAGGCCAACUAUGACUUCAGUUAUUCUCAUGCUCACCGGCAACUCUCUCUCUCUUCCAGUACCCUCACAGCCAGCAUUUUUUAUGGGUGCAUCCGACUUUUCAAAGGCUGUAGAAUUGGAUCAAGCUCAAAGCAGUAGUUCUGUCCAAAAAUCUGUUAAUGAGGCUUCAAUUACUGAACUAUCUCCUCGCUAAUGUACAAAGAGAAUGCUAAUUUUUAAGGAUUUCUGGUCAAGGAGAGGAGUGAAGAAGAAAUGGGUUCUGCACUCAGAUGAGUUUUUAGCCUCUCCAAAGUCCGAAAUGUUAAAGAUCUUGCAAGAUUAGGUUGUGGUCAAUUGUUAUAAAGGUAUAUAUGAAUUAAUCAUAAUUUGAAUGGCUGGUUGUGCUUCUAUUAUAAGUGGAAUCCCAAUAAACCUGGUUUACCAUUAAUUAUGGUACUGGACACAUGCUCUAAGUGUUUGUGUGUGUGUGUGUGUGUAUAUAUAUAUAUAUAUAUCUCCACUAGUGGAAUUAACAAAUUGGGUAUCAAGUUUUAGAAUUAUGCUAAAAAAAUGGUCAUGGUUGAAGGUCUAUGGUUUUAAAUUUCUGGUUGGCUCUCCCUUUGAUACGCAUAUCCAAAUAGAAAUUUGAUUAUUUGCCUUGUUUAUAAUGAAUUGGAGUUUCAGCUUAUUUUUGGAAAGGUGUAAUGUUGUUUAUUUGGUUUUGAUUCUUCUUUUAUUGUCAUGUGAGAUGGGUAAGAGAUGAUCAGUCUUCAGUAAUAGUCAAUCUGUAUUACCUGCAAUUCGGAAGUGCAAGACUUGGUGUUUGGAUAUAGGGGCAGGAGUUCUUGCUUUAUGUGGGUCUUAUUUUAAGUAAAAGCUUGGAGUUAGGCUCAUUAGGGAAGCAUUGGAAGCGGAUGAUUGGCUUAGCUCUGACUUAAACAAAUUGAGAUCAUGGCGCCAUCUAAUAGAGCAGCAGCCGCUAAAGCGAUAGCUUUGAGGAUGAAAGCUGUGCAAAUGAAAAGAACUAGCUCUAAGGAUGCAGGGCCGUCAACCACACCUAAAGCUUUGUCUCCAAAGAAGAGGGUUGUGUCUGCUAAGAAGAAGGAGGUGUCCCCGAAGAAGAAGGUUGUCGAAACUAAGAAGAAGACUAGAUCCCCGAAGAAGAAGACAAAGGUUGUAUCAAACAAAUCUGUAUCAAAGACCAAUUCUGGAAAUAGUUCUAAGUCUAAUAAGACAAAGGAUGGUGAUGAUGAGGAAGAUCCCGAUGCAACUGGUGGUUUGAAGCUACUAAGGCGAGGGAUGGUGACAAUGAAUCGCAUUACAAGGUGACUCAUCAAAGGGAGAAAGCUAACUAUACAGAUUAAUGAUAAGGGGGAACCUUAUGGUAAGGCAGCAAAAGAAAUGCAGUCUUACAUUGGGGUCUUAGCACGUACAAAGAUCCGAUUGUCACUGGUGAUUAGAGAGAGGUGGACCCUAAUGAAAAACAGAAAAUCUGAGAAUCUAUUCAGGAUGCAUAUGUGAUCCCUAAAGAAUGUAAGAAGCUGGUGAUUACCUCUGCUACAAAUAAAUGGAGGGAAUUCAAGAGCAAAUUUACCAACAAGUACAUUAUCCCUUAUAUGGAUACCCCUGAAUUGCUAGAAAAUCCACCGGAUGAUUAUCGAUGUGUUAAGAAGGCUGAUUGGGAUAUCUUUGUCGCUGACAUGAUUUUAGAAAAAUUUAAGGAACUGCGUGAUGCACAAAUAGAAAAAAGAAAGGAAAAUCGGUACCCUCAUCGUAUGGCACGUAAAUGAUAUGCUAACUUAGAAGCCAAACUGUCCGAGUCAAUCCCCUUAGAGAAACUGGAUCGUGCGAUGAUGUGGGUGAAGGCACGGCAAGAUAAGAAUGGCUGCUUCAAAGAACCUGAGGUGGAUAAGACGACAAAAAGAAUUGU